rnacentral:rRNA from 1 species
AACUAACGCUGGCGGCGUGCCUAACACAUGCAAGUCGUGCGCGAAAGGGGCUUCGGCCCCGAGUAGAGCGGCAGACGGGUGAGUAACACGUGGGUAACCUGCCCAGAAGUGGGGGAUAACCUGGGGAAACUCGGGCUAAUACCGCAUACGUUCGCGGGGUUCUGCUCCGCGAGGAAAGCCGGCCUAUGCUUGCAAGCUGGCGCUUUUGGAGGGGCCCGCGGCUGAUUAGCUUGUUGGUGGGGUAAUGGCCUACCAAGGCGACGAUCAGUAGCCGGCCUGAGAGGGUGAACGGCCACACUGGAACUGAGACACGGUCCAGACUCCUACGGGAGGCAGCAGUGGGGAAUAUUGGACAAUGGGCGAAAGCCUGAUCCAGCAAUGCCGCGUGAGUGAUGAAGGCCUUAGGGUUGUAAAGCUCUUUUACCCGAGAUGAUAAUGACAGUAUCGGGAGAAUAAGCUCCGGCUAACUCCGUG